rnacentral:rRNA from 1 species
GACGAACGCUGGCGGCGCGCUUAACACAUGCAAGUCGAACGGAAAGGCCUGCUUUCCCUUGUGGAUUGCGGGUACUCGAGUGGCGAACGGGUGAGUAACACGUGAGUGAUCUGCCCCCAACUUGGGUAUAAGCCUGGGAAACUGGGGCUAAUUCCCGAUAGGACUGCAGGGUGGUGCCUGUGGUGGAAAACGAUUUUCUAGUGGUUGGGGAUGAGCUCGCGGCCUAUCAGCUUGUUGGUGGGGUAAUGGCCUACCAAGGCGGCGACGGGUAGCCGGCCUGAGAGGGUGGACGGCCACAUUGGGACUGAGAUACGGCCCAGACUCCUACGGGAGGCAGCAGUGGGGAAUAUAGCACAAUGGGCGGAAGCCUGAUGCAGCGACGCCGCGUGGGGGAUGACGGCCUUCGGGUUGUAAACUCCUUUCGACCGCGAGGAAGCCACCUGGUUGGAAGGGUGGUGACGGUAGUGGUAGAAGAAGCACCGGCUAACUACGU